rfam:Hymenolepis microstoma genomic scaffold, pathogens_HYM_contig_0230
UUUCAUAUGGCGUUGGGUGGUUCUGUAGCGCUGUUAGCCACAAAUGCGAUGUGCGACCCGAUCUGAAGACAUUGUCCGCCGGCGAGUAUGACUGCGGCGGUACAUCUGUCAAAUCGUAACGCAGGUGUCCCAAGAUAAGCUCAGUCAAGACAGACAUCUGGCGUAGAGUAAAAGGGCAAAAGUGCACUUGAUUUGGAUUUGCAGUACGAAUACAGACCGUGAAGGCGUGGCUUAUCGAUCCUUUUGAUGAUCGGAUGUUCAGAUUUUAAAAAAAGAGGCGUAAGAAAAGUUACCACAGGCAUAACUGGCUUGUGGCGGCCAAGAGUUCAUAGCGACGUCGCCCUGUGAUCCUUCGAUGUCGGCUCUUCCUAUCAUUGUGAAGCAGAAUUCACCAAGCGUUAGAUUGUUCACCCACUAAUAAGGAACUUGAGCUGGGUUUAGUCCGUCGUGAGACAGGUUAGAUUUACCCUACUGAUGCGCACACUGUGUCAUCUGCGAGGUGCAAGCUGGCCGUUGCUAUGGUAAUCCUCUUUAGAACGAGAGGAACUGCAGGUUCAGACAUUUGGUAUAUGUGCCUGGUCGACCGGCCAAUGGUGCGAAGCUACCAUCUGAGGGAUUAAGACUGAAAGCCUCUAGGUCUGAAUCCCAACCAAAGAUGCAACGAUACACUACGUGCUGCCACAUGGAUAGGCAACUAUAGCACUUCCAUCCACG